rnacentral:lncRNA from 1 species
AUCUCAUCCGCUGUCCACUGGGGAAUGGCCUUGCCCUAUGGCCCCUACCAAACAAAAACGUAGCAGAACACAGCAAAACAGCAGAGUCGGAAUGUGAAGUGCUGAUAGAGUUCCCUAACGCUGACUGUCUGCUCUGCAUUUCUGGAGAUUGUAUGCCUGUCAUCCUGCAUUCCUUGCUACAGCCACAAGCUGUCUCCACCAUCAGAUGUGGCUUACCUGGUUCCUGAGUCAAUUCCAUCCAGAUGGUGAAGCCAAGGCCUGAAGACCUUUCCUGCAAGGUCGCAGAGGAAGAGGCAGAAGAAGGACCAGAACCCAGCUCCCCUGACUCCCUAUCCAGUGCUCUUCUCAUAGAUUACAUUGCUUCAGCAUCCACCUGGCUAUUGCUCCAUCCAGGGGUUACAGGAGUCACUGACUGUUUUGGUUGCUUCUUGGUUGGAGGAUGUUGUGCCUCACCGAUGAGAGCCGGAAGCAAAGGUACCAGUUCUUAGAGGAAGCAUAGGAAUGUGUCCCUUCCUGCUCGGGUCUCUCAACUGAACUCAACCCUUCCUUGAUUGAUUGACAAGCAUGUUAUCUCUCAUAAUCCCUGCCCGGUAAGGGCUGAUGUCCCCAUUUUACAGAUGAGGAUAUUGGAGCUCAGAGAAGUGAAAUGAUUGCUGAAGGUCACACAGCCUGGCUUCAAGCCUCUCGGGCUCCAAAAGGCAUCUUCUGUUCUCUCCGUCAGGAAGCCUCUUUUGGAUGAUUAACUGAGAUUAAAAAUGAAAAGACACAUGAAAGAAAGGUCCUUUUUUU